GUCGAACGCUGGCGGCGUGCCUAAUACAUGCAAGUAGAACGCAGUUGCGAACGGGUGAGUAACGCGUAGGUAACUGCCUCAUAGCGGGGGUAACUUAUUGGCAACGAUAGCUAAUCCCGCUUCCUUUCAGAUGAACCUGCGUUGUAUUAGGUAGUUGGUGAGGUAAAUGCUCACCAAGGCGACGAUACAUAGCCGACCUGAGAGGGAGAACGGCCACACUGGGACUGGUACGAGGCCCAGAGUCCUACGGGAGGCAGCAGGAGGGAAACUUCGGCAAUGGACGGAAGUCUGACCGAGGAAAGCCGCGUGAGGGAAGAAGGUGUUCGGAGCGUAAAGCUCUGUUGUUAGAGAAGCGGUAACUAAACAGAAAGGGACGGCUAACUACGUGCCAGCCGCCGCGGUAAUAC
rnacentral:rRNA from 1 species